GACGUAGGGCGCGAGCGUUGUCCGGAUUCAUUGGGCGUAAAGCGCUUUAAGGCGGUUCGGUAAGUCGCGUGUGAAACCUCCAGGCUCAACCUGGAGACGCCACGCGAUACUGCCGUGACUUGAGUUCGGUAGGGGAUCACGGAAUUCCUGGUGUAGCGGUGAAAUGCGCAGAUAUCAGGAGGAACACCAGUGGCGAAGGCGGUGAUCU
rnacentral:rRNA from 1 species